GAUGAACGCUGGCGGCGUGCCUAAUACAUGCCAGUCGAGCGAACAGACGAGGAGCUUGCUCCUCUGACGUUAGCGGCGGACGGGUGAGUAACACGUGGAUAACCUACCUAUAAGACUGGGAUAACUUCGGGAAACCGGAGCUAAUACCGGAUAAUAUAUGGAACCGCAUGGUUCAAUAGUGAAAGACGGUUUUGCUGUCACUUAUAGAUGGAUCCGCGCCGCAUUAGCUAGUUGGUAAGGUAACGGCUUACCAAGGCAACGAUGCGUAGCCGACCUGAGAGGGUGAUCGGCCACACUGGAACUGAGACACGGUCCAGACUCCUACGGGAGGCAGCAGUAGGGAAUCUUCCGCAAUGGGCGAAAGCCUGACGGAGCAACGCCGCGUGAGUGAUGAAGGUCUUCGGAUCGUAAAACUCUGUUAUUAGGGAAGAACAAAUGUGUAAGUAACUAUGCACGUCUUGACGGUACCUAAUCAGAAAGCCACGGCUAACUACGUG
rnacentral:rRNA from 1 species